GUAUGUGCCUACAGUAUCGCGUUAAUGCACCGGAGCCCAUUAAAACUCCGUAGUUAAGCGCGCUCAGGAUAGAGUAGUAUUGGGAUGGGUGAUCACCUGAGAAGUCCUAGUGUUUUACAUUCC
rfam:Picea glauca, whole genome shotgun sequence.